rnacentral:rRNA from 1 species
GUGCCAGCAGCCGCGGUAAUACGGAGGGUGCAAGCGUUAUCCGGAUUCACUGGGUUUAAAGGGUGCGUAGGAGGGCAGGUAAGUCAGUGGUGAAAUCUUUGGGCUUAACCCGAAAACUGCCAUUGAUACUAUCUGUCUUGAAUGCGGUGGAGGUGAGCGGAAUAUGUCAUGUAGCGGUGAAAUGCUUAGAUAUGACAUAGAACACCGAUUGCGAAGGCAGCUCGCUACACCUGCAUUGACUCUGAGGCACGAAAGCGUGGGGAUCAAACAGGAUUAGAUACCCUGGUAGUCC